rnacentral:rRNA from 1 species
ACGAACGCUGGCGGCAGGCCUAACACAUGCAAGUCGAACGAAGCCUUCGGGUUUAGUGGCGGACGGGUGAGUAACGCGUGGGAACGUGCCCUUUGGUUCGGAAUAGCCCCGGGAAACUGGGAGUAAUACCGGAUAAGCUCUUCGGAGGAAAGAUUUAUCGCCAAAGGAUCGGCCCGCGUUGGAUUAGGUAGUUGGUGGGGUAAUGGCCUACCAAGCCGACGAUCCAUAGCUGGUUUGAGAGGAUGAUCAGCCACACUGGGACUGAGACACGGCCCAGACUCCUACGGGAGGCAGCAGUGGGGAAUCUUAGACAAUGGGGGAAACCCUGAUCUAGCCAUGCCGCGUGAUCGAUGAAGGCCUUAGGGUUGUAAAGAUCUUUCAGGGGGGAAGAUAAUGACUGUACCCCCAGAAGAAGCCCCGGCUAACUCCGU